GUUGUAUGGUUAAGUGACUAAGCGUACACGGUGGAUGCCUUGGCAGUCAGAGGCGAUGAAGGACGUAUUAACUUGCGAUAAGCCCAGAUUAGGUAGUAAAAACCAUUUGAGUCUGGGAUUUCCGAAUGGGGAAACCCACUUGCAUAAGCAAGUAUCGCUGCGUGAAUACAUAGCGCAGCGAGGCGAACCGGGGGAACUGAAACAUCUAAGUACCCCGAGGAAAAGAAAUCAACCGAGAUUCCGAAAGUAGCGGCGAGCGAAAUUGGACUAGCCCUUAAGCUUUUUAUGCGUCAGGUGAAACUUCUGGAAAGUUGUGCGAUACAGGGUGAUAGCCCCGUAACCGGCAACGCAUAUAAAGUGAAAUCGAGUAGGGCGGGACACGUGAUAUCCUGUCUGAAUAUGGGGGGACCAUCCUCCAAGGCUAAAUACUACUGACUGACCGAUAGUGAACCAGUACCGUGAGGGAAAGGCGAAAAGAACCCCUGUGAGGGGAGUGAAAUAGAACCUGAAACCGUGUACGUACAAGCAGUAGGAGCACCUUCGUGGUGUGACUGCGUACCUUUUGUAUAAUGGGUCAGCGACUUAUAUUCAGUGGCAAGGUUAACCAUCUAGGGGAGCCGUAGCGAAAGCGAGUGUUAACUGCGCGACUCAGUCGCUGGAUAUAGACCCGAAACCAGGUGAUCUAGCCAUGGGCAGGUUGAAGAUUGAGUAACAUCAAUUGGAGGACCGAACCGACUAAUGUUGAAAAAUUAGCGGAUGACUUGUGGCUAGGGGUGAAAGGCCAAUCAAACCUGGAGAUAGCUGGUUCUCCCCGAAAGCUAUUUAGGUAGCGCCUCGGACGAAUACUACUGGGGGUAGAGCACUGUUAAGGCUAGGGGGUCAUCCCGACUUACCAACCCUUUGCAAACUCCGAAUACCAGUAAGUACUAUCCGGGAGACACACGGCGGGUGCUAACGUCCGUCGUGGAGAGGGAAACAACCCAGACCGCCAGCUAAGGUCCCAAAUUACUACUAAGUGGGAAACGAUGUGGGAAGGCUCAGACAGCCAGGAUGUUGGCUUAGAAGCAGCCAUCAUUUAAAGAAAGCGUAAUAGCUCACUGGUCGAGUCGGCCUGCGCGGAAGAUGUAACGGGGCUAAGUAGUAAACCGAAGCUGCGGCAAUGCACUUAGUGCAUUGGGUAGGGGAGCGUUCUGUAAGCGGUUGAAGGUGUGUGGUAACGCAUGCUGGACGUAUCAGAAGUGCGAAUGCUGACAUGAGUAACGAUAAAGGGGGUGAAAAACCUCCUCGCCGGAAGACCAAGGGUUCCUGUCCAACGUUAAUCGGGGCAGGGUAAGUCGACCCCUAAGGCGAGGCCGAAAGGCGUAGUCGAUGGGAAACGGGUUAAUAUUCCCGUACUUCUUACAAUUGCGAUGGGGGGACGGAGAAGGCUAGGUGAGCCUGGCGACGGUUGUCCAGGUUCAAGUGCGUAGGCUGAGAAAUUAGGUAAAUCCGGUUUCUCUUAAGGCUGAGACACGACGUCGAGCUACUACGGUAGUGAAGUCAUUGAUGCCAUGCUUCCAGGAAAAGCCUCUAAGCUUCAGAUUGUAAGGAAUCGUACCCCAAACCGACACAGGUGGUCGGGUAGAGAAUACCAAGGCGCUUGAGAGAACUCGGGUGAAGGAACUAGGCAAAAUGGUACCGUAACUUCGGGAGAAGGUACGCUCUUGAUGGUGAAGUCCCUCGCGGAUGGAGCUGACGAGAGUCGCAGAUACCAGGUGGCUGCAACUGUUUAUUAAAAACACAGCACUGUGCAAAAUCGUAAGAUGACGUAUACGGUGUGACGCCUGCCCGGUGCCGGAAGGUUAAUUGAUGGGGUUAGACUUCGGUCGAAGCUCUUGAUCGAAGCCCCGGUAAACGGCGGCCGUAACUAUAACGGUCCUAAGGUAGCGAAAUUCCUUGUCGGGUAAGUUCCGACCUGCACGAAUGGCGUAAUGAUGGCCACGCUGUCUCCACCCGAGACUCAGUGAAAUUGAAAUCGCUGUGAAGAUGCAGUGUACCCGCGGCUAGACGGAAAGACCCCGUGAACCUUUACUACAGCUUGGCACUGAACAUUGACCCUACAUGUGUAGGAUAGGUGGGAGGCUUUGAAGCAAGUACGCCAGUAUUUGUGGAGCCGUCCUUGAAAUACCACCCUUGUAGUGUUGAUGUUCUAACGUUGACCCCUAAUCGGGGUUGCGGACAGUGCCUGGUGGGUAGUUUGACUGGGGCGGUCUCCUCCCAAAGAGUAACGGAGGAGCACGAAGGUGGGCUAAUCACGGUUGGACAUCGUGAGGUUAGUGCAAUGGCAUAAGCCCGCUUGACUGCGAGAAUGACAAUUCGAGCAGGUGCGAAAGCAGGUCAUAGUGAUCCGGUGGUUCUGAAUGGAAGGGCCAUCGCUCAACGGAUAAAAGGUACUCCGGGGAUAACAGGCUGAUACCGCCCAAGAGUUCAUAUCGACGGCGGUGUUUGGCACCUCGAUGUCGGCUCAUCACAUCCUGGGGCUGAAGUCGGUCCCAAGGGUAUGGCUGUUCGCCAUUUAAAGUGGUACGCGAGCUGGGUUUAGAACGUCGUGAGACAGUUCGGUCCCUAUCUGCCGUGGGCGUUGGAAGAUUGAAGGGGGCUGCUCCUAGUACGAGAGGACCGGAGUGGACGAACCUCUGGUGUUCGGGUUGUGUCGCCAGACGCAUUGCCCGGUAGCUAAGUUCGGAAUCGAUAACCGCUGAAAGCAUCUAAGCGGGAAGCGAGCCCUGAGAUGAGUCUUCCCUGAUACUUUAAGUAUCCUAAAGGGUUGUUCGAGACUAGAACGUUGAUAGGCAGGGUGUGUAAGCGUUGUGAGGCGUUGAGCUAACCUGUACUAAUUGCCCGUGAGGCUUAACCAUACAACACCCAAGGGGUUU
rnacentral:rRNA from 1 species